UAAAAACUAAAAAAAAA
rnacentral:sRNA from 1 species